AUAAAAUUUCCAGUUGGAACCUAAUGAUUCAUCAGACUCAGAUAUUUAAGUUAACAGUAUUUGAGUCUGAUGAAUCAUUAGGUUCCGGUCAGAAAUU
ensembl:miRNA